AAUCCAAAACGACUCUCGGCAACGGAUAUCUCGGCUCUUGCAUCGAUGAAGAACGUAGCGAAAUGCGAUACUUGGUGUGAAUUGCAGAAUCCCGUGAACCAUCGAGUCUUUGAACGCAAGUUGCGCCCGAAGCCAUUAGGCCGAGGGCACGCCUGCCUGGGUGUCACACA
rnacentral:rRNA from 1 species